GACAGAGGUGCCGAGCGUUAGGCGGAAUCACUGGGCUUAAAGCGUGUGUAGGCGGACCCGUCAGUGUCUUGUGAAAUCCCACGGCUCAACCGUGGAACGGCUGGGCAUACUGCGGGUCUGAGAGACCUAGGGGCGAGCGGAACAGGCGGUGGAGCGGUGAAAUGCGUAGAUAUCGCCUGGAACGCCGACGGUGAAAACAGCUCGCUGGGGGUCUUCUGACGCUGAGACGACGAAAGCCAGGGGAGCGAACGGG
rnacentral:rRNA from 1 species